GGGCGGGGCGGGACGCGAGCGCCCCUGACAGGUCGGAAACCCAGAGGCUGCUUUUCUCGCUGUUCAGUCACCAGCCCGCGGGGGAAGCCUUGGUCUGGGGCCGUGGACGCGAGCAGCGCGAGGGGUCGGGCUGGGGCAGCAGCGGGCACAGAACCUAGCCCCGGGAUGAGGGGUGUGGAGUUGGGUCGCUCCUUGGUCCUGCCCUGCGGGUGUGGAUCCAGGUACUGGCACAACCAGGAGGCCUGAGAGGGGUAUGGGGGAAGAAUGCUGUAGAGGCACCACACAGCUGGGCAUUUCUCACCAGUCUAAUAAAUUUUACAGUCCAGGCCUCCUGAACCCUGUUCCGUGAGUGAGCUUGCAGAUGAAAACAACAAUUGGCGCCCUAAUGGGGGACUCCAGUAUACUGGGUGUUGGUGUUACAACACAGAGAAAGGAUCUGAACGUUUUGAUCUGUGGAGGAGCUGUCAUUAAUCUCGCCAUACUGUUUUUUAGCAACUUUGCAGUCAGCAACGAGCACCCUGCUCACAUCUGCCUCUUUGUGCACUGAACUCCUAGGAGCAGGCUGGAAGUCAAAGAGAACUAGCACAGAAACUCACCCCACCUUGGCUUCUGCCCUGCAACUCUUGGCAAGUUCUCUUCAUGAGGUAAACCAACCAUUCAUUCUUAUUUUUGAGUUUAACUGGCAGUCC
rnacentral:lncRNA from 1 species